GCCUGAUAAUUCGCCCUUUAAUUGUGGGCUUGUAUGAAUGGACGAACGAGAAUUUAUCUGUCUCUCUAGUAUUUCUAUAAAUUAAUCUCCAGGUGAAGAAGCCUGGUUUCUACUAAAGGACAAAAAGACCCUAAAGAGCUCCGUUAAUAUUUAUUAACAACAAUUAAUAUUUAUAUAUAAUAACUACCUCAAAUAUUAACUUAACUGGGGCGGUUAAGGAAUAAUUUUAAUCUUCCAUUUAUAAACUAUAAUGAUAUACAUAUCUAUCAAAAUUGAUCCUUAUAAGAACACAGAAAAAAGCUACCUUAGGGAUAACAGAUUAAUCCUCCUCAAGAGUACACAUUGACAGGAGGGA
rnacentral:rRNA from 1 species